GAAGAGAGGUAGCAGAGGAGAGUUAGGUCCCUUUUGGAAUGGGACAGCAGAGGGGGCUGUGUUUCAUCUCAGCGAUCAACUGGUUGACCUAUAUGUGAGACUUUGCAAGCCGAGUGUGAUGAUCCUGCUUAGAAUCCCAGCAUUUGAGAGGCUGAGCCAGCAAAUUGACGGCAAGAUUUUACACUCCUUUGAGUUCCUUUCAGCACCCUGGGAAUUGCAAGCAGAUGAACAUCGGUCCCUGCCCUCAAGAAAGCAUGCAAUGAUUUUGUGGCAUGGCAGAGAGCAACGGGGAUCCUAAGUGUUCAACUCUCUAGAGAGAGUGCUUAUCACAUCAGCUCCACCUGUGAUGGGAUAUUACACAUAGAUAAUUAAUAAAAUAAAAAGGUUAUAUUUUUACUUUGGCCAACACUUAAACUCUGAGCCCAAAAUCAUUGUCUUGCUUUGGGGAACAUGGCGUAGAUACAU
rnacentral:lncRNA from 1 species